rnacentral:tRNA from 7 species
GGUCGCUUAGCUCAGCUGGUUAGAGCGUUCGGUUCACAUCCGAGAGGUCGGGGGUUCGAUCCCUCCAGCGACCA